rnacentral:lncRNA from 1 species
CGGCCGCCUGCGGCAUCAGCAUUCCGGCGGCGCGGGCGGCCGCUGUCCUCGCGCGACCCCAGCCCGUCCAGAGCGCGCCCCGGCACCGACCCUCGGGGCGAGGCGAGCGCAGCCCCCGCUGGCCAACAAGAAAAUGCACCGGGACCACUCCUCAGGUCUCCCUGCGAUUCAGUCACCAGUCACAGCUCUGCUGGGACCGCACACUGUCCCCCACACAUGCCGCCCUUGACUGUUGUGACAAAGAGCUUCCAAGAGCAUCAGCAUAACAACAGCAUGCAGAGGCUGCAGGGGAUCUGAAACUAUCAGUGGGGCAGUUGGAAGCACGUCUCUACACAUGGUUUUCCAGGGUGGUAUCUUUGCAGCACGCAGAAAUCCUCUUCUGAAGAGUCCUUUGCUGUAUUCCCCCGUGCCUCCCCACCCCCACCCUCCCACCCCCGCUAAUGGGCAUGUUUCCGUGAACACUGAAGACGAAAAACAUGCGAUUUUGAAUGUGUCUCUUUCACGGUCACACAUUUCUUUUUAUUGUGCAUCUUGGCUGAGCCACGCUUUAAAAUUCCCAGCAACCGUUCCCAAGUCAGUUUUCAAAGAGUCUUGCACCUUUGACCCAAUAAAAACCAGAGAGAACUGGACGAAGACUUGUGGCAUGUCUCGGAAAGCAUUUUGCUAAUAAAAGUUUCAUUUCUUUCCCUUUGA